CAACACUUUAUUUAAUAAAAGUCCCAUCUAGUUUUCAUGAGGAAUGUGAUGUUUUAAUUUCUCUGAAUAACUGCAGUCUAAUGCAACAGCUGGAUUUGUAACAUGUGUCCUGAUAUUGAUCAUGAAGUAUUGAUCAGAAUACUUAUGGUCAGCAGUCAUCCCUGAAGUUUUACAUUAAAAUCUUUACUUGUGUUGUGAACUUUGGUAAGAAGCAGAAACUUUAGCGUUGCCAUGGAUACAUGAGUGUUAAAUUCUGUCCAUGUUUCCAUUUUGGGAAAUUCAGUCCAGCAGAUGAGUUUGUUUUUACUGCCAGCUACAUUCAGUCUGAGAUAUUAAGAAUAAAUAAAUAAAUGUGCAUAAUGUGGAAAUGAACAGAUUCUAUUUUUAUUUAUUCCUACAGCUGCUGCAGGAAAGUUCCAGAAUGUGGAGGAAUUUAGUCUCACAAUCACAGACAAUAAAUAUUAUCUGAAAGUUGGGUUAUUGUUGUUUAUCAGCACAAUACAAAAAGAUUAAUGUUAGAAAUAUUCCAGUUAAGACUCUAGAAUAUCAGGAUUUAUGUAAAUUUACCUCAAUAAUAUGAAUGUUCAGGUUAAGAUUAUACAGUGAUAUUUAUUAUGUAAGUUUAGCUGAUUAAAGAUUAUGACUCUGCACUAAAAUAUUAUUUAUUAUUUAAAUUUACAUCAUUAUUAUAAUAUUUAGGUUCAGACUCUACAGUAUUGAGAUUAAGAAAUCAAAUAUUCUAUAAAAUGUAAAUACACUGAACUCAUUUGGAUAUAUUUAAGUGAGACUCUACAAUAUUAUUUGACACAAAUCUAUCUAAAUCAAAAUUUGAAUCAUUUUUACUCCAAACAUUUACUGGACUGAUUUAAAUAUUAAAAUCACUCCUUUCUAAUCCUCUGCUGUACGUUCAAACCUGAGGCCUUAAAUAGAAACACACAAGUAUCUGAUUGAAGGAACUUCUGCAGAGUCCUGGUUCCAGAACAUGAUGAUAGAAUUAUAGACAAACUUUAACAAAAGCUGCCUGAGAGUUUACAGCUUUUUAUGUUAGAUUUCUUCAGUAAUUUAAUGAGAGUUAUCAGCAAAAAUCAAGUGUUCAUUUGAUGAACUUCAUUUCCUAAAACAUCCAGAAUUGGAGCUCAUAUCUUUGGCAGCUGUAAAGUUUCUGCUCCUUCAAAGUUCACAACACAAUGAAUGAAUUCCUAAAACACUCUCAAUGCUGGAGAGCGUUUGAUGCUGAAGCAGUGAUCAGUUUUUCUGUUUCUUCUCUGGAGAUGCACAAUGAGGGACGUCUGCAGAGACUGAGAAAGAGUCUCACCACAUCCUGACAUGAGGAAAAAGACUUUAUUGAAGACUACAAUGAGAAAAACUAUCAGACAGCAGACGGCUGCAUUCAAGUCUGUAGCUGCUGAAUUCAUGGAUGAAUCAUCUGGCACUAGAGAGGAAGACCAUCAAACAUCCACGUCAGCUGAUGGAGGUCCAAGAGUCUCACCCAACAAACAACCUACAGAGUGAAGACCUCCAAUCUGAUUGGACGGCCUCCUAUUCAGCCACAUGUGUGAACAAAUGCCUCUAAGCUGAUUUGUUUUCUAAAAUAAAUCUAGUUUGAGUCCUAA